UACAGAGGGUGCAAGCGUUAAUCGGAAUUACUGGGCGUAAAGCGUGCGUAGACGGUUGCGUAAGUCAGAUGUGAAAGCCCCGGGCUCAACCUGGGAAUUGCGAUGGAGACUGCAAGGCUUGAAUCUGGCAGAGGGGGGUAGAAUUCCACGUGUAGCAGUGAAAUGCGUAGAUAUGUGGAGGAACACCGAUGGCGAAGGCAGCCCCCUGGGCUAGUACUGACGCUCAUGCACGAAAGCGUGGGGAGCAAACAGG
rnacentral:rRNA from 1 species